rnacentral:rRNA from 1 species
UACGUAGGGGGCUAGCGUUGUCCGGAAUCAUUGGGCGUAAAGCGCGCGUAGGCGGCCCGGUAAGUCCGCUGUGAAAGUCAAAGGCUCAACCUUUGAAUGUCAGCGGAUACUGCCGGGCUAGAGUCCGGAAGAGGCGAGUGGAACUCCUGGUGUAGCGGUGGAAUGCGCAGAUAUCAGGAGGAACACCGAUGGCGAAGGCAGCUCGCUGGGACGGUACUGACGCUGAGGCGCGAAAGCGUGGGGAGCAAACAGG